rnacentral:rRNA from 1 species
AGCGAACGCUGGCGGCAGGCCUAACACAUGCAAGUCGAACGAACUCUUCGGAGUUAGUGGCGGACGGGUGAGUACCACGGGGGAACGUGCACUUUGGUUCGGUAUCACUCAGGGAAACAUGUGCUAAUACCGCUUGUGCCCUUCGGGGGUAAGAUUUCUUGCCAUUAGAGCGGGGUGGGUCUGAUUAGCUAGUUGGGGAUGUACCGGCUGACCAAGGCGACGUUCGUUAGCUGGUCGGAUAGGAUGACUAGCAGCACUGGGACUGAGACGCGGCCCAGACUCCUACGGGGAGCAGCAGUGGAGAGUCUUGCGCGAGGGGCGAAAGCCUGACGCAGCCGCGCCGCGUAAGUGAUCAAGCUCUUAGGAUUGUGAAAUUCUUUCACCGGAGGCGUUAAUGACGGUACCCGGAGAAGAAGCCCCGGCUAACUUCGUG